GUUCUUGGCUUUAGCACACCCCAGAGAGGCUGGUUAAGCCCUGUUCCAGGGCAGCCCUUGCAGCAAAUUGCUUGUGGUUAGUUGCAGCUUGCUCUGGGGGGAGCCCAUUCUGGACCCAGAAGUGCCAGGCUCCUCAGGCCCAGGACUGGGACCAUGCGGCUUCCUUUGCAAACGGAGAACAGAUUCCUAGAACAAUGGCUGUUCCAUGGAUCUCCCCGGGGAGCCAGUUUUGAGGUUUGGGGUCGCGGGGAGCACUCCUGUUAGGAUCCAUCCAGUUCUGGUUCUUCCAGUCACACGCCAGAUCUUGUACCCUCCAAGGGCCGUUUGCGUUGUGUUUUCCAGGUCCUUCCAUGCCCUGCGAUCUCUAGGGCAGGAGCCCUAGAGCGAGAAGGGUCAAUCACCCACUUUGGCCUCUGGCAUCCCCUCAGCCUGUGCCGCCUGACCAGGCAGGCGGUGGAGAGACCAAGACCUAGAUCUGGCUCAGCCUAGCCAUAGUUUGCGGCCCCUUUAAGGACCUGCGGUACCUAAGCCCGGGGGUUGGGUGGGGAAACGGGAGCAGAGGGCGUGGCUCUCGGGUCAGCGGCGAGCGGAAGCGGAAGCGGCGCAGCGCGCAUCCGGAAGUGGAUUCCGUGGCCCUGGGACCGUGGUAAGUGGCUACUCCUCGCUCUCCGCCGGGGUUCCUCCGGGACAGCCUCUGCCCCGCUCCGCCGUUUCCUCGGUGUGCGGUCCGCGAGUCCCGCGGAUGGGAGCGCGGGGAGGCCGCUGGGCUUUUGGAAGGAGCCCGCCCCGCGGUGGGGCGCGUCCGUGCCGGGGUUCGCCGACCGGCGCCUCCCGCCGCCUGGCGCCGUCAGGCCCGACCCUCAGCGCCGGGGAGCAGAAGUGCGUGCGGGCACCCGGCGGAAAACUCGCGGAGCCCGGGGCUAUCUGGAGCCAACGUGGAGGCGUGCUUCCCGUGCUUCCCGCUGUGGUCCUCACGGCCGGGUUCCCCCGGGGCGGGGCCCUUCCUUACCGUCCGAGGUGCGCACGCACACCUGCGUGAGGGUCUGGAAAGGACCGUCCCGUUACUAGGGCGCUUAACGCAGCUGGGAGUGGACGGUGUACUCGGACACCAGCUCAUCUCGUUUUCAUGGUUGCACAGUAUUUUUCUAGUACUGGUUCGUUUAUCCUGUUUCCUGUCGAUAGAAACGUGGGUUCUUUUCAGCCUUCCGUAAUGAAGAGCAAUGCUCCUAUUGAGGUUAACUAUAAUUUUUAAAAAAUUUUAUUUUUUAAAGGUUUUUUCUUUUAUGAUUUUUUUAUAUAUUAUUAUUUUUUUUUAGUUUUCGGUGGACACAAAAAUCUUUAUUUUUAUGUGGUGCUGAGGAUCGAACCCAGCGCGCUACGGCUUGAGCCACAUCCCCAGCCCUGAGUUAUGUUUUAUUACGUAUUUAUUUCUGGCUGCUGGGCUUGGAUCCCAGAGCUCCACUCCAAAGUAUUGGUCCUACCACUGAACCACACACCUGGCCUAUUGUCAUUGUACUCCAGCAGGAAUAUUUCUUUGGGCUCAAUUCCUCACUGCAGAAGUGCUAGGUCAAAGGACAUUGUGUAGAUGCGGAAGGUGCCCAAGUUGUCCCCUCCACACAACACAGGAGAUGUCUGGUGUUCCUCAAGCUUUGUUUUGCAGAUGCGGAAGGCAUAAAUGGUGUGUUAUUGUAGCCUCAUUUGAAAUUCCUGUAAUUAACUUUUUAGAAUACUAAUGUCAGGUCAUUUUGAUGUUAGUAGUUCCUACCACUAUUAAUAUUUUGAAAUCGGAAAUUAUGUCUGUGUUAUAAACGUAUAUAUUUAAAAGCCAUUUGUAUUUCAUAUUAUUUGCCCAUUUCUGAAUUGGGUCUUGGUGUCAUUUGGGGGGAACAAUUUAUAUAUUAGGGAAAUCAGUCUUUUUGUUGUCAAAAGUGUAUCCUCCAUCUUUCAUUUGUCUUUGUAGGUUUUUUUUUUUUUUAAUGCCAGGUAUUUAAAAUUGUUAUUAGUGAUUAUUAGUUUUUCACCAUGGCUUCUAUGUUCUGUGUCAUGUUCAGAAAAAUGUUCAAAUACAAGAUUAUAAAACACUUGGUAGUUUCUUUUAGAGAUGAAAUGACUUCUAUAUGUAUAUUUUAUACAUAUACAUAUACAUGUAGAUUUUUUGUCUAAUAUUAGAAAAUACUUCUGGUAAGGAGCAAAACUUAUUUCCGAAUCACUUGCUUUGACUUAGUUUUUCCAAAAACAUUUUGUCCUCCAUUGUCCUAUUGCGCGCUGAGGCUCGACUGGCCCGUUUCCUCAGCGCGCUGGAACCCCACUGCCUAGCUACAUAUGUCCAGAGGACCUUUUCCCCUCCUUUUCUUGGGCAGGUUUCUUUUUUGUCAGUGACACUAGGCGAGUUCAUCUUGUUUCCCUGCCCUGUUUUUUGUUGUUUUUUUUUCUAACUGGGAUUGCUUAGAUUUGUAGAUUAAGUUGCAAUGAAAGUGCCAUCUCGAAUACUUGA
rnacentral:lncRNA from 1 species